GCAUUCUCAAUUUAUUGCAUUAUAUACAUUGAUGGAGUCAUUAGGAGGAUUAUUACUUGAAUUACUUCUAUGGUGUCUCCAAUACAACCUUGAGGAUAAGGCUAUUUUUAAGGGGGUGAUACUGAUAGGUAUGUGGAUGGUGUAUUCUAGAGAAGCAAGCAAGUUCUGAAAGAUGUGGCCAGCUCGACUCCAUUCCAUUAGAGUGAUUCCCGAAUGCAUGUGAUGCAGCU
rnacentral:misc_RNA from 1 species